rnacentral:rRNA from 1 species
AUGAUCAAACUCGACAUUCAACGCGCCUUUGAUACCGUGUCAUGGGAGUUCCUUCUUGAGUUGCUUGUUGCAAGAGGAUUUGGGAGAGGUUUCACCAAUUGUCUGUCAGCGCUUCUCAGCUCCUCUUCGACAAGGAUCCUUGUCAAUGGU